UACGUAGGGUGCAAGCGUUGUCCGGAAUUAUUGGGCGUAAAGAGCGUGUAGGCGGCCAGGUAGGUCCGCUGUGAAAACUCGAGGCUCAACCUCGAGAUGUCGGCGGAAACCAUCUGGCUAGAGUCCGGAAGAGGAGAGUGGAAUUCCUGGUGUAGCGGUGAAAUGCGCAGAUAUCAGGAAGAACACCCGUGGCGAAGGCGGCUCUCUGGGACGGUACUGACGCUGAGACGCGAAGGCCAGGGGAGCAAACGGG
rnacentral:rRNA from 1 species